UACGUAGGGGGCAAGCGUUGUCCGGAUUUAUUGGGCGUAAAGAGCGUGUAGGCGGUUUGGUAGGUCCGCUGUGAAAACUCGAGGCUCAACCUCGAGACGCCGGUGGAAACCAUCAGGCUAGAGUCCGGAAGAGGAGAGUGGAAUUCCUGGUGUAGCGGUGGAAUGCGCAGAUAUCAGGAGGAACACCAAUAGCGAAGGCAGCUCGCUGGGACGGUACUGACGCUAAGGCGCGAAAGCGUGGGGAGCGAACAGG
rnacentral:rRNA from 1 species